CAAUGUCCACUGCAGUUCAUCGACUUUCACUGCCAAAGAAGAAAAUCAAGGUCAGAAGAGUGAUUUCUCCUAGCUGAAACACAAGCUCAGAAAGAAAUCCUGCAUGGUAGGCUCUCCUUCCCUUGAAUCUUCCACCCACCACGGGCAGCAAAAAAGGACCAGGCUCCCAGAGGCCCGGCCUGGAAGGAAUUCUGCUCAGGAAGAGUCGCUGAGACCACCCAAAUUGCCGGGGAACAGAGGCCCUGGCCACCCCAGGAGCCGGGCCGAACUGGCAACCUCUGCGUUCUCCAGCCGCAGCCAAGCAGGAGGACGGCAGCUUGACCACAGCCCUGGAUCAAGCCUGCGGAUCACGCCAUGUCGGGCCUGGGAAGAGCUUCGAGUUCUCUCCUGCCCGUGUGUGGCUGUGCCAGCCAACAUCAUGGGGCAGACUGCCCUAGCCAGGUGGCCCAAGUCCGACUCCUCCCAGGGCCUCAAACCCACCCCAUUGACUGUUUCUCCCCCUAAAAGUGGAGCUAGCGGCUGUCCCCCCAGAAUAAAGAGCAGACAGGGUGGGCGGAGAGGGGGCUGCGACUCUCCUUCCCUGGAUCUCUCCUUUGUCAAUUCUUGAAGGCUCCUGGCUCUGCUUUUCUGUUCCGCUUCUCCAAAGGAACUCAGAGGCCCUGCCCUCUGCCCCCACUCUCCCUGGCUGUGAUUCACUGCUCCCACUGGCUCCGCCCCAGCCCCAGCCCCAGCCCUAAGGAGGGCUUACAUUUGCCAAGGAAAAACUCACAGGCUUUCAGAUCUGUCCAAAGAGGACCAUUCUCAGCAGGCAGGGAGGGAAGAAGGGAUCAAGGAGAGGCCAGGGUAUUUCUUCCCCUUA
rnacentral:lncRNA from 1 species